AUGGACCAUUCCGUCCCUUAUUCUUGUGGCUAUGCAUCGGAUUCGGAUGACGAAGGUCCCGAUGAAUAAGUUGAUGAGGAGAGGUUCACGGUGAAGUAGGCCGAAACUUUCGAGAAGGUAUUGGGGCGGGAUCAUCGGACUACAUUGUUCAAGGAUGUUAGUCUUGCGGAUGAAGCCGUGGUAGAUGGUGGCCAAGGUAUAUCUCUUGGGUUUAGGCCAAGAUCUCACCGUGAUUUGGAAGACGACAAGAACGGGAUUGCUAAAGGGUCUAAGUUUGAAACCUUGUUGGAAUUGAAGAUGUGUCUUGACAACUACUCGGUUACGCAUUAUCGUCCACACAAGGUGGUGAACUCGGACAUCAAUGUGCGCUACACGGAUGCAUGUGCAUGUGAAGAUGAAGAAUUUUCGUGGAUUGUGCGUGCAAGACCAUGGAAAGGAGGUCCCACUUGGCACGUAGUGAGUUGUGUGCCAACUCACAUGUGCCGAGGCAAAAGGGUGGAUGGCAAGGUUGUGUCCCAAGACCACAGACAACUCACGUCCGAGCUCAUCGCUUACGGGCUCUCCAACUCAAUAUCCACACUUCCAACAAAUGAGCAUCCAACAUGUCAUUGA
rnacentral:rRNA from 1 species